GCUGGGGCUCAGUGGUAGAGCGCUUGCCUAGCAUGUGUGAGGCCCUGGGUUCGAUCCUCAGCACUGCA
rnacentral:tRNA from 1 species